rnacentral:sRNA from 1 species
CCCUAGCCCAGAUUGCUUCGCUCGUGUGCAGUGAAAAUCCUUUUUGUGAAAAAUCUAUUUUUUACAAAAAGAUUGAAACGAAUAGCUGGAAAUAGC